rnacentral:rRNA from 1 species
AUGUCUGGCACCAAUGUGGAGUUGGUGUGUUGGAACGUGAGAGGGCUUAAUAGUCCGGCCAAGAAGAAGGCCCUUAGAGAAUUUGUAGACUCUAUCACUGCGGCUAUCAUAUGUAUCCAGGAGACAAAAUUGCCUGUUGUGGACAGGUUUACUAUUAUGCAAUGUAUUGGUCCGGCUUAUGAUGGCUUUGCUUAUCUCCCGGCCAAUGGGACUCGUGGAGGCAUACUGUUAGCAUGGCAAUCUAACCUUGUCCACAUCUCUAACCUUGUCAAUGACUCUCACUUCAUCACGGGCUAUGUUACCCCACCUGGUGGGAUCGCCCUGGUGGCUAUCGGUAGUGUAUGGGCCACAGGAGGACGUGGAAAAAAUUGCCUUUCUUGA